CUUUGAAAAAGUUUAGACAACCAACCAUGGAAUGGAACAUAUCACCAUAACAGGAGGAACACUAAAUAUGAUCUCAUGAAUGGUAUAUAAUUUUGUGUUAUUGCUCUCAACUACCUGCAAUAAUGUAUCUUGAACUAUCAACAUUAUUAUCAUUCAGCACUAUCAACAACCCACAAUUAUUAACAUUAUCAAUAUAACCCAGGGGUAAAGACAAUCGUCAUUAUCUUCAUUACCAGAUUCUUAUGCACAAUAUGCUCAUUAUUAGAACCAAGUAAUAAUUAGGGUGGA
rnacentral:misc_RNA from 1 species